AGAAUAAAACUGUAGUUUGCUCUUCUUUUCUUCUCUUCUUUUUGGUGGUUUCCAAUCCUGAACAAAGGCAAUUUAUUUUAUAUCGGGGUUUGAUUCCGUCCGAGGUAGCGAGUUGGAGGUUAGAGUUCGAUAGAGGAUCAAAGACCCCAACCCAGUUCGCUGCCCGCAAAAAGGUCAGUAAUUUCUUUUUGAUCCGGCAGUUUCAAAGGUGUUUAUGACUUUGUACAUUUCAUGAAAGUAGCUUUAGUCCCUCUUGCGUUCCUCUUUUUGAUUUAAUGUGGCUUUUGUUGAUAUUAUGUUUAAGUGGCAUUCUGUAUGUUUUAGUUAUCAUGCUUUAGGAUUUCAAUUUCUUUUUUAUUUUUUGCUUUAUGAGUUAAUCAUGUCCUCAAGAAAAGUUAUGUGAUAGCCAACAGUCAUGCAUAUAGAUUAAAUUUUUUUAUUUUAACCAGGACAAUUCGAUAAGGUUUGUUUUGUCGCGAUUCACAUAUUAGAUGCCAUGCCUAUAACUCUAUAUGAUAAGAUUUAAGUUUGGUUUUAAAUAGCUCGUAAUGAAAUGGAUGCUGACAGAUCUUUCUCAAAUAUUAACAUACGUUUUGCUCAUUUGGGAGUAACUUUAAGGAAGUGCCAACAUGUUUUUGACUAUUCAUAUCUCAUUAAAUCACAGAAUAUUCCUAUAAGAUGUUACUACUUUAAUACUGCUGCAUUUGUUUCUGUUGGAAAAGUUUAGGUUCUUUGGGAUUAUGGAUAACUUGAUAUAUGACUGGUUAUACUAUAAUUAUAUCUUGUUUUAUUUCUUUUUCUCGUCUUGUUAUAAAUCUGAACCUGCUCCUUUACAGGUUGAUAAUUAAAAUGGACUUGAAGAUAAAUUUAUAUAGAUGAACUAAUUAAUGUAUAAGUCUUCGUUAGGAUACCGAUUUUAAGAUAAUCAAGUUCUAGCUAAACAUCAUAUGAAUUUUAAAUGUGCUUUUGUAUCAAUAACAGAAGGCAGGCUUAUGCCUAUUCUUUUCAUCAUUAAAAUAUGCCUUUUUCAGUUUAUGUAAUAAAUUCUGUCACCAUUGAUUGAGGAAGCUUUAAACAAGAAUAGUACUUAACUUAAAAGAGUCUAUUUGCACUUUGAAAAGGAAAAGAUGUGACUUCUGUUGGUAUAGAAUUGAAAGUACAGUGCAUGAGUUGUUAUAAUUUGAAUAACUAUGUAGUUUCAUUUGUUUUGGUUUUCGUUUGUCCUGGUUUCUUUAUGCACACUUAAGAAUCGAAUUUCUCUUCUACUUCUUAUUUUGUUCUCUUCUUUCCAUGUGUACUUUGGAGCAAAUGGAGCCUUAAUUCUAUGAAGUUUCAUAGAGACUCAAACAUUGCCAUCACCACCAUAUGGAGCCAUUGCAUACCAUCUUUCUUCUAGCACCCAAUAGCAAGAAAAAUAAGCAAAACGUUUGAGGGUGUCUAUGGGGUUUUUCUCAUCUUUUUCUUUAUAUUCGUUUUGUGUAAUUUCCUGAUCACAACUGACUUAUUUGUCUGUGUCUAUCUCAUGUUGAGCCUGGGUUUGAAUAAUUA
rnacentral:lncRNA from 1 species